CCAGUUACCAUCGUGGGUCAUUUCGGCAAAAUUCAUCUCGUGCGUCUUCGGCUCCACCGCCAAAACGAAAACGAACACUUGUAUGGUCUGAUGUAUGCCAGUGCUUGGCCUAAUCCGGAUGCCUCUCUCAAAAAGGGCACAGAGUAACCAGAUGGUGGUAGAAGUAUUACAACCAAAUCUUUAUUGCUAGCUCUGCUGCGAAGGAUUUCGAAACCACCACAAUUCUGAAGUUUGGGAAAAUAUUCUUCGAGUUUGGCCACAAAAGCAGAUGCACUACCAUCUUUUUUAAAAACUUUUUUUUUUCUUCCUAACCCAGCAAGCUGAAGGUCACAUUUUUGUCCUCAAGUUGAUUGAUAGUUUUGAUGGCGAUCAGCGAAACAAAAGAAUUCAUGGAUCCGCGUAUCUUUGGGUACAAACUGAGAAAAUGUUCGUUUUCGUUUCGGCGGUGGAGCCGAAGACGCACGAGAUGAAUUUU